rnacentral:rRNA from 1 species
UGGGGAAUCUUGGACAAUGGGCGCAAGCCUGAUCCAGCCAUGCCGCGUGCAGGAAGAAGGCGUUAUGCGUUGUAAACUGCUUUUUGCCAGGGGAUAAAAAGACCGUGCGCGGUUAAUUGAAGGUACCUGGUGAAUAAGCCACGGCUAACUACGUGCCAGCAGCCGCGGUAAUACGUAGGGACCAAGCGUUGUUCGGAUUUACUGGGCGUAAAGGGCGCGUAGGCGGCGCGGUAAGUCACUUGUGAAAUCUCUGAGCUUAACUCAGAACGGCCAAGUGAUACUGCAGUGCUAGAGUGCAGAAGGGGCAAUCGGAAUUCUUGGUGUAGCGGUGAAAUGCGUAGAUAUCAAGAGGAACACCUGAGGUGAAGACGGGUUGCUGGGCUGACACUGACGCUGAGGCGCGAAAGCCAGGGGAGCAAACGGGAUUAGAUACCCCUGUAGUCCCUGAGCGGGCUGGCAAGGCGCAU